rnacentral:rRNA from 1 species
CAACCUGAGCUCAGUCGUGAUUACCCGCUGAA